GCCCAGAUAGCUCAGGGGUAGAGCACUUGCAUGGUAAGUAAGCGGUCGUAGGUUCAAUUCCUAUUCUGGGCAUCA
rnacentral:tRNA from 1 species